AUUUUUUUUUAGGGUUUUCGCCGUCGAUCUAUGUGCAUUGGAGCAGGACUUGGACCUUCUCCUGUUUACUGUUGAUGAGAGAACUGCAACAAUAUGAUGGAAAAAUUCACGUGAUUCCAAUGUAUUUAAGUCUCUGAUGAUCGGAAAUUUCCCUCUCCUCCUUGAAUCUUUGGUAUUAUCCUCAUCCAAAUCUAUCAGAGGUGUUUUUGUGUGGAAGGUAAGAAGAAUGUGGAGAUGUGAUGAAUAAUUAAUUGGUCCGUGUUUCGGAUUGAUGAUGACCGAUUACUCUUCACCAAACUCUGAUCUCCCUCAUUCUUCCUCGUCUCUCGUUAAUUUAUUUGGGGAUGAACAAGAUUGAUUUUGUUUUUGGACAUCUCGUGGCUCUGUGAUAACUUGCCUGUAAAUGGCAGUAUACGCUAUUCUGAUAACACGGCAUGAUCGGAAAGAAUUUCGAAUAAAUCUGAGAGCCCUUCUUUGAUCCUCUAUUUUCUGAAAUUUGGAUCUUUUUUUUUAAAUGCUUUUAAAAUUUUGACAAGUUUUCUUCCUCCGAUGAAUCGAUGAGAAAAAAAAAUCACGUCAGACUUUGGAGAUUCUCCCCCAAAAAAAUCUCAUUGAUUUUGAGCAUAAAAGUCCUUUUGUUUUGGAAACUGUUAGUUGUUUUUUCGGUCUCAUGUUGAAAUCAUUUCACAACAAAAUUCCGACAUACGUCGACGAUAGUGGAAGAAAUGGACAGUGGGCACUGGUCGAGACAGGGGCUCAAAUGGGUUGGGUCUUGAAUAUUGGGCUUUGCCCAUUUCAGACCAAUGUGUGAACGGGCUUUUAUAUAUGGCAUUGUUGUUGGAUUUGUAAUUGUAUUUAUGAAUUUAGGUUAUGAAGAAUUGUCAACUCUCAUGCAUAGACCUAAACUAGUCGUCAAAUUUGUAAGACCUAUUCCCAUAGGCUGUCAUAUUUUCUA